rnacentral:tRNA from 1 species
GGCCCGGUAGUUCAAUGGUAGAACACUUGCCGCGAAUGCAAGAGACCCUGGUUUCAAUUCUAGGUCGUGUCC